rnacentral:rRNA from 1 species
AUGGGAGCUUGCUCCCUGAGAUUAGCGGCGGACGGGUGAGUAACACGUGGGCAACCUGCCUAUAAGACUGGGAUAACUUCGGGAAACCGGAGCUAAUACCGGAUACGUUCUUUUCUCGCAUGAGAGAAGAUGGAAAGACGGUUUUGCUGUCACUUAUAGAUGGGCCCGCGGCGCAUUAGCUAGUUGGUGAGGUAAUGGCUCACCAAGGCGACGAUGCGUAGCCGACCUGAGAGGGUGAUCGGCCACACUGGGACUGAGACACGGCCCAGACUCCUACGGGAGGCAGCAGUAGGGAAUCUUCCGCAAUGGACGAAAGUCUGACGGAGCAACGCCGCGUGAACGAAGAAGGCCUUCGGGUCGUAAAGUUCUGUUGUUAGGGAAGAACAAGUACCAGAGUAACUGCUGGUACCUUGACGGUACCUAACCAGAAAGCCACGGCUAACUACGUGCCAGCAGCCGCGGUAAUACGUAGGUGGCAAGCGUUGUCCGGAAUUAUUGGGCGUAAAGCGCGCGCAGGUGGUUCCUUAAGUCUGAUGUGAAAGCCCACGGCUCAACCGUGGAGGG